UUUACUUUCUGAAAGUUGAGGAAACUUUUGGUAGAAGAAAAUAACUCAUUGAGGUCUGGAGUUGAAAUUUAGCCGAAUCUGACUAAGCUCCGGGUCCUAUUAAGACAAAAAAUAAGUAAAAAAGAUGGGGUGAGUUAAUUUGCAGUUUUAGCCAAGACUGGGAAUAGAGAAAUUCUUAGUCUGUCUAGGCCUUACCUAUGGCAGUUACAAUUUAUGUUAAUGAAAAAGGGGAAGGCCAGGAAAUCCGCCCCACGUAGAUUUGUCCUUAGGUUGGAUUUAUGCCUCUGUCCUACUAAAGGUACUUCCGGUGCUAUGGCUAUUCUUGGUUGUUAAAUUGACGCACCUGGAAAAAAAUGAACCUCAAUUGAGAAAUCGCCUCCGUCAAAUUGACCUCUGGGGUGUGUCUGCAGAGCAUUUUCUUGAUUGCUAACUGAAGGAAGAGAGCUUAGCCCACUGUAGGCACCGCUUCUGGGCAGGUGGUCCUGGAUUGUAUGAGGUGAGCAGAAACAGAAAGCAAGCCAGUAAACUGCGUUCUUCCUUGACCACUAAUUAAUCUACUCACUUUACAUGCCAAUCACAGCCUUUAAUCCAGUCAGUUCCUUAAAUUGUGCUACUGUUAUGAAUAGUAAGUAAAAAUAUCUGUGUUUCCUAUAGUCUUAAACCCACUGUCAAAGGGGUCAAGAUUGAGAACCACCGGCUUCCACGUUCCUGUCAGGGGUUCAUGCCCUGACUUUCAUGUUUGACUGUAAGCAGUGAGAUGAGGUAAGGAAGAGUAACAACAGGAUCAAAGCUGGGAUCUGUCUCAGGGCAGCCAAUAGGAAGACGGCUUGUGAUGGGCUCCCCUACGACACGCUGAAAGGAAGAAACGUGGGUGUUCACUCCCUAGCGAGGCAGCCUUCUCUCUCCACUGUGCAGUUUUUUGUUUUGUUUUGUUUUUUCGAGACAGGGCUUCUCUGUAUAGUCCUGGCUGCUCAAGAACUUUUUCUAUAGACCAGGCUGGCCUCAAGCUCAGAGAUCAGCUUGCCUCUGCCUCCUGAGUGCUGGAACCAAAGGCGUGCACCACCACCACCACCACCACCACCACCACCAGGCUCGAGUUUGAUAUUUAAAAGCUAUUGGAAAUGACUUUUUUCCCUUCAGGUCUUUUUGACACGUUUGUAUUUGGUUCAGUGAAAGGAUGCCUAUGUUUUGUUUGUUGGUUUUUUUCUGCUACUUUUCUAAAAGUGUUUUUCAAGUCUAAGGAUUUUCUGGUAGAAGCCAGUCAUGGGGGCACACCCCAGUAAUCCUAACACUCUGGAGGCUACAACAGGAGGAUCACCAUGAGUUUGAGACCUGAGCUUCACAGUGAGCUCUAGGCCAGCAGGUACAGAUUGGAUCUCAACAUUAUACCAGGCCGGUGAGGUGUAGUGGUACACACCUUCAAGCCUAAGACUCGGGUGAGAAAGAACUCUGAGAUCGAGCCCAACCUGGUCUACAUAGCAAGUUCUAGGCUAGCCAAGGCUAAAAAAAAUGUAAAGCAAACCAAACAAAUUCACUAAAACCCAGCAACACAUAGUGUCUGGUGGGGUCUUUAGGAUCUUUUGAGGAUUGCAUCGUGUCAUGCAGAAAUAGGGGUGAGUUGGCCGUUCCCUUUCCCAUGUCUGUUUCUCUUAUUUUCUCUCUUACUAGUCCAGUAAGACUUCUAGCACCAUAUUCAAAAGAGUGGAGAAUGGCCACCCUUGUCUCCUUUCUAACUUUAGAGGAAAUUCCCCAUGUAGUGUGAUGUUGGCUACAGGCUUGCCGUAUUUAGCUCUUAAAACAUUGAGGUAUGCAUUUCUUCUGUCUCUAGUUCUGCAGGGGCUUUGUCAUGAAGGAUGUUGGACUUUGCCAAAGGCCUUUAAUGUGUCUACAGAUGUGGUCAUGUGAUUUUUGUCAUUACAUCUCUUCAGCCCUUGUACUAUAUUCAUAGGUGUGGAUGUGUUGAGCCAAUCUUACAUUCCUGAGAUGAAACUAACUUUAUCACAGUGUUCUUGAAAUGGAUUUACAAUAUUCUUUAGAAAUUUAGUGGUUGUUGGAGAAUUUGGGCUGUUGUGUCCUCUCUGGUUUGCUGUGCUGUGGCUUUGUAGGAUAAGUGUGGUAGUGUCCCUUCCCUUUCUACUUUGUAGAGCAUUCUGAGAAGUGCUGGUGUCGCCUUCCUCUUAACAGCAUGGGAGAAUAUGGGAGAAUAUGGCUGUGAACCAUCCCAUACUGUGUGAGACUUAGUGGGCACAUUUUAUUACUAUUUCAACUUAACUGCCUAUUGCAUCUGCUUACAUUGUUUAUGUCUUCUUGAUUUAAUUCUGGUCAGUUAAGUAGAUCUCGGAAUGUAUUCAUUUCUUCCAGAUUUUCUAGGGACUGUUUUGUUUUGUUGUAAUACAAGUUAAAGUAUUGCCUAAGAUGCUCUGUAUUUUAUUUCAAGAUAUUAUACUAUCCCGUUUCCAUCUCCAAUUUCUUAACUUGGUGCUUUCUAUCCAUAUCUAUCUACCUACAUCUCUAUGUCUGUCUGUCUGUCUGUCUCCAUUCUCUCUCUAUGGCCUUAUGUAACCCAGGCUGGUCUCAGAUUUACUAUAUAGCUGAGGAUAACCCUGACCAUCUGACCCCUCUACCUCCACCGUAGACAUGCGCCACCAUGACCAGUUUUAGCUGACACUGAGGGGCAAGCCCAGCACUCUGCUAAGCACUCUGCAAACAGAGUGACACCUCAGCCCCUCUCUCUUCACCUUGGUCGUCUUGACUAGGCCUUUGUCAGUCUUGCUUAUCUUGUCCGAGAACCAGCUUUUUGGUUGGCUGUUCCCAUGUCUUGCUCCUUUACCUCCAUUUCAUUCACUUCUGCUCCACUACUGUUUUUGCUUUCAGAUUUUUCUUGCUUUUCUAAGAAGUUGGGGGUAAGUCGUUAGGUGUUUAAACUUCAGAUUGCACUGACUUCUUCUUUUUCUUUUAUUAAACAUAUUUUAAAAAAAUAUUUAUGUAUAUGGGUACUUUGUCUGCAUGUACGUCUGCCUGCACACCAGAAGACAGUAUCACACAGCGCUGGCUUACUGGCCAUGGACUGCCUUGUGUUGUGCUUUUCUUAAAGUGCCCUUAUUUCACAAUCAAAUUUAAAGCAUACUUGCUGGAUACAAUAAUCCUGGUUAGUUAUGUACUUUCAGCAAUUACUGUGCAAUCUGUCCUUUCCAGGCUUUUACUGGAUGAUGAGGGCCCGAGGCGACGUCACUCCAUGUCUCUGUAGGCCAGUUGGUCCUCUCCCUGACAUUCCAUUCCAUUCUUCCCGUGCCCUUUUGACCUCUUACCUAGCCCACGUCACGGAAAGUACCCUCAGCAGCCUUGUCUGUCUGUAAUUCUAAGUGCCUCUUGUACUUGGCUGUCUGUUUUCUUUCUCUAGAUCUGGGGGAUUUUCUGUUACAAGUGAACUUUCUAGACAAUAAAACAGUAAAAACACUAAGAACGUCUAACAGUGGAGGAACGUGUGGAGAAAGAAAGAAAAGCUGAGCGUAGUAGUUCACACCUGUAAUCCCAGCACUCGGGAAGGUAUGCAAUCUCAUGAGUUCAAGGCCAGCCUGGGGUAGAGAAUGAGAAAUG
rnacentral:lncRNA from 1 species